UACGUAGGGUGCGAGCGUUAAUCGGAAUUACUGGGCGUAAAGCGUGCGUAGGCGGUUGGCAAAGUCAGCUGUGAAAGCCCCGGGCUUAACCUGGGAAUGGCGGUUGAAACUAGUCGACUAGAAUCUGGCAGAGGGGGGUGGAAUUCCACGUGUAGCAGUGAAAUGCGUAGAGAUGUGGAGGAACACCGAUGGCGAAGGCGGCUCACUGGCUCGUUUCUGACGCUCAGGCGCGAUAGCGUGGGGAUCAAACAGG
rnacentral:rRNA from 1 species